rnacentral:tRNA from 1 species
GCCGCGGGCACGGUGGCGGCGUCACCGGGACCGGCCGUGGCCAGGUCGAAGACCGCGCCGAGCAUCGGUUCGACGCCGAUGCUGCGGUA